GUUUGUAGCUCAGUGGUACAGAGCUUGCCUUGCAUGCAUGAAGCCUUGGGUUCAGACCCCAGCAUCACG
rnacentral:tRNA from 1 species